UACGUAGGGGGCUAGCGUUGUCCGGAAUCAUUGGGCGUAAAGAGCGUGUAGGCGGCCAUGUAGGUCCGGUGUGAAAACUCGAGGCUUAACCUCGAGAUGUCAUCGGAAACCAUUUGGCUAGAGUCCGGAAGAGGAGAGUGGAAUUCCUGGUGUAGCGGUGAAAUGCGUAGAUAUCAGGAGGAAUACCGAUGGCGAAGGCAGGUCUCUGGGCUGACACUGACGCUCAUGCACGAAAGCGUGGGGAGCAAACAGG
rnacentral:rRNA from 1 species